CUUUACCUUGUGGAUUCUUUAAAAUCAGUCUCAUUAUUAAACUAAGUACAGCACAGGUAAGGAUGUAUAAUAUUUAUCACUUUGCCAGUUUGCCAUUACAUUACAUUAAAGCGACAUUAUCAUAAAAAUACAAUACUAUAACAAUAGUUAAUAAGUUAUAUUUUAUUUAAAGUGAUGCUGUUAAAAUGCAGAGUACUGUUGCUCUGUGUAUCAGUUAGAUACCUGUAGGGUUAAAUACCAAAAGUGUGAAUUCUUCACAACUGACCAAGGAAUUAGAUUUUUUCUUUCAUUUACUUAUAACAUCAUAACUCCCAACAUUUCGGAUGGACAUAAAAGGACACUUUAAUUCUAGUGCUGUAAGUGGGGCUGUGGCCAGGGGCGGGCUGGUCUGAGAAAUUUUAGGUGACUUACUAGUAACAUUUUAUGAAACUAAAAUGUAAUUUAGAACAAGA